rnacentral:rRNA from 1 species
GACGUAGGGCGCGAGCGUUGUCCGGAUUUAUUGGGCGCAAAGAGCUCGUAGGCGGCUUGUCGCGUCGUCCGUGAAAACUUGGGGCUCAACCCCAAGCUUGCGGUCGAUACGGGCAGGCUAGAGUUCGGUAGGGGAGACUGGAAUUCCUGGUGUAGCGGUGAAAUGCGUAGAUAUCGAGAGGAACACCUGCGGCGAAGGCGGGUAGCUGGGCCGACACUGACGCUGAGGCGCGAAAGCCAGGGGAGCGAACGGG